UACAGAGGUCUCAAGCGUUGUUCGGAUUCAUUGGGCGUAAAGGGUGCGUAGGUGGCGGGGUAAGUCAGGUGUGAAAUCUCGGAGCUCAACUCCGAAACUGCACUUGAUACUGCCUUGCUCGAGUACUGGAGAGGAGAUUGGAAUUUACGGUGUAGCAGUGAAAUGCGUAGAUAUCAAGUGGAACACCAGUGGCGAAGGCGAGUCUCUGGACAUUUCCUGACGCUGAGGCACGAAAGCCAGGGGAGCAAACGGG
rnacentral:rRNA from 1 species